GACGAACGCUGGCGGCGUGCUUAACACAUGCAAGUCGAACGAAGUGGCGAACGGGUGAGUAACGCGUAAUCAACCUGCCCUUCAGAGGGGGACAACAGUUGGAAACGACUGCUAAUACCUCAUACUCUAGGCGGGGAUUGGGUUGGAUUAGCUAGUUGGAGGGGUAACGGCCCACCAAGGCGAUGAUCAGUAGCGGGUCUGAGAGGAUGAAAGGUCACAUUGGAACGGAGACACGGCCCAGACUGCUACGGGAGGCAGCAGUGGGGAAUUGUGGACAAUGGGCGCAAGCCUGAUCCAGCCAUGCCGCGUGUCUGAAGAAGGUCGUCGGGUUGUAAAGGACUUUAGUCAGGGAGCGGUACCAGAAGAAUAAGCACCGGCUAACUACGUGCCAGCAGCCGCGGUAAUAC
rnacentral:rRNA from 1 species